UGAUAUCACAAUGCUCAUGAUUAAAAUUUUCCACAAUAUUAUGUUAAAAAAAGUAUUAUUUAUUGCUGAACAUCUUCAUAUUCUAAUUGGAAACCAGCAGUAUGCAUUUACCACAAGCACGCACACACACACACACACACACUCACCAGUUUACAGUCAUCCCCUAUUGCAAAUUUGAUUAUGAAAAUGCAUUCAAACCCAGAUGGAAAUUUUAUCUUGCCUUGUUUAGCUCACAAAAACACAAACGGUGAACGAGGUGAAUAUCAUCGGAAGGAUUUGCUGUGAAUUUUUUCAGCAUUUUUAAUGAUUGUUCACUCUGUUUUUGUUUUUUUUUGUUUUUUUAGCUUUUCCAUGUCGUCUGAUGUUAUGAUUAGAUGAGGAUGAAGGCAUGAGAGAUAAUGGAGGUUUUACCGUGCAAAACCACAGCAUAAGAAAAAGUGCUGAACGCAGACUGCAAGAGGAAUAACAUAAUCUUCAAUACUGCGAUAUAUUUCCAGAACCGGAACCGAACUGUGACUCACUGAACAUACGCAGCACCCUUGUGCCUGCAGGGCAGCGGUACUAUGAACCCAGAGCUGCCGGAGGCCUCUGAACAGGAUGAAGACACCAAAAACCUGUGGAACGUCCUCUACAGGCGACAACAGCUCCAAAACCGCCUUCAGUUUCUACAGGAGAUCCAAAAGAAGAACAGAAUAGAGGAAUGCCAUGCAAAUGAAGAUGGACCUUCAGAACUGGACAGAAUAGAAGAGGAGCUAAAGGAGCUGGAACAAAAGGAGAAGGACCUAAUUCAGAAAAGAAGCCAAUGCUUAACAACAGUAUCCACAGACAAAGGCACGAGACUAGGCUAUGCAUUCUAAACAAACAAAACAGAAGAUCAAAAACCAGUUUUUGCAAUAUGUUAAAUAUGAUUCGAUAUUUUAAAAGAUACAAAUGACUGAAAUAUUAUUGAAAUUCUUUUUCUAGGUUGUGUAUAUUUACUGAAUACUUACUGAAUAUUACAAAAAUCUACAUACUAGGGUUGGGUCGAUAGACGAUCCUCCACCCCGUUCCCGCAGCAACAACCCACUCGUGGAAAAUACAAGCUUAGGCCCCGUUUCCACUAAUACGUCUUAGUUUUAAAAUGGCAUUUUAGAACAAAAACGGUCCACGUCAACACUGGCAUUUCUAGCUUUGACGUUCACCUAGCGUUUCUGAAAAGCCCUCCUUCCACAGCGUAUGUGCAUGUCUAAGCUCAAGCAGUAAUCAGGUGCUUUGAGCACACAACCCCAGGAGCAGUGCAUGUCAGACAGUUUAUUAAGGAUGUUCCACUGGAUCAUAUUUAUUUUUUUACCAAUCAAGUUUGUUGACGCCAUUAUAACGACAAAGAUCACUCUGCGUAUUUAUGCCAGAGUCCCUCGGAAAUAGUGAUUGGCAGGUGGUAAUUUGUGUGUAACUUAUCUUCAUUUAUUUAUGGUUUGGUUAUGGGUAAAAGAAAGACCAUGUGGGUCAGGUAGUUAAAAUGGUAGGCUACAAAUAAUUAUUCAUAAAUAGUUAAUUCACCGCCGCCUAUGAAGACGAUGGGAUCGUCCAUCACAAUGUUUCACAUUUGACUGCAUACGAUACCAAAUUGGUCUACAUCGCCCAACCCUACUACAUCCUAUGUAUAAUCUUUACAUUUUUAGGAGGAAAAAAUCAUAUGUUAGGCUUUGCAAUUUAAUUUAGACCACAGAAGCACGUGUAUGAACUGUUAAUCCAUAUUUAAGGAUAAUUAUGACACAUCAUAAAUGGCCAAUACAAAAUCAUUAUGUUUUGUGAUAUUGUGGCUUUUAUGAAACUUUUUCAGUAUCAGUUUUGCAAAUGUAACAUUAUUUAUUUUGUGUUAACUUAUAUAAUAUACUCUCUGUGACAGAUCCAAUUCAAGCUCCAAUCCAAGGACUUUACGUUCUUCCCAUUUCUCCUGCAGAACCUAUUAAUCCUGCCAUCAUUCUACCAGGUUCUACAGUACCCCUGGAUGAAGUCACCAUGUCCCCUGCCAAAGUAAAAUGCCCCUCUUGCCAUAAGAUUGUCACCACUGAGAUUCAGUAUAAACUUAGCAGCAAUGCCUUCCUCUUUUGCUGUCUCCUGUCUGUGGUGGGGUGUGUGGCCGGAUGUUGCCUUGUCCCCUUCUGUUUGAAUCGCUUCAAAGAUGUCGCCCACAGUUGCCCGUCCUGCAACAAAGAAAUCUGUGCAGUAAACAGGAUUUAAAACAGAGUAAAAUCUUGACCUGUGAAGUGACUUAAGACAAAAUAUCCCUGAAGAUGUGUCUGGACUGUUGGGGAUUUCUCUCUCUCUCUCUCUCGUUGUUCUCUUGACAGAAUUUUGUAGUUAAUACAUACACAGCCAAAAAUACAUGUACAAACAAAUGCAACUAUAAUCAAGUUAAACAAAUAAUAACUGAUUAUUCACA